AGCAGAAUGGCUCCCGCAAAGGGUGGUAAGAAGAAAGGCUGUUCUGCCAUCAACCAGGUGGUAACCCAAGAAUACACUAUUGAGAUUCACAAGUGCAUUCAUGGAGUGAGCCUCUAAGAAGCAAGCCCCUCAGGCACUCAAAGAGAUCUGGAAAUUUGCCAUGAGGGAGAUGAGGACCCCAGAUGCACACAUUGAUAGCAGGCUCAACAAAGCUGUCUGGGCCAAAGGAAUAAGGAAUGUCUCACACAGUGUAUCCCUGCGUGGUUGUCCAGAAAAUGUAAUGAAGAUAAAAAUUCACUAAAACAAGCUCUAUACUUUGGUUACUUAUGUACCUGUUACCACUUUCAAAAUCUACAGACACUCCAUGUGGAUAAGAACU
rnacentral:lncRNA from 1 species